rnacentral:rRNA from 1 species
UACGGAGGAUUCGAGCGUUAUCCGGAAUCAUUGGGUUUAAAGGGUCCGUAGGCGGCCUUAUAAGUCAGUGGUGAGAUCUCCAGGCUCAACCUGGAAAUUGCCAUUGAUACUGUAGGGCUUGAAUGUUUAGGAAGUAACUAGAAUAUGUAGUGUAGCGGUGAAAUGCUUAGAUAUUACAUGGAAUACCAAUUGCGAAGGCAGGUUACUACUAAAUGAUUGACGCUGAUGGACGAAAGCGUGGGUAGCGAACAGG